CGUGUAGGCGGUUCGGUAAGUGGAAUGUGAAAUUCUCCGGCUCACCCGGAGUACUGCAUCCCAAACUGCCGAGCUUGAGUAUGGGAGAGGAUGAGGGAAUUCCUGGUGUAGCGGUGAAAUGCGUAGAUAUCAGGAGGAACACCGGUGGCGAAGGCGCUCAUCUGGCCCAAUACUGACGCUGAGGCGCGAAAGCUAGGGGAGCAAACGGGAUUAGAUACCCCGGUAGUCCUAGCCGUAAACGGUGAGCACUAGGUGUUGGAGGCAUCGACCCCUCCAGUGCCGCAGCUAACGCACUAAGUGCUCCGCCUGGGGAGUACGGCCGCAAGGUUGAA
rnacentral:rRNA from 1 species